CCUACGGGUGGCAGCAGUGGGGAAUAUUGCACAAUGGGGGCAACCCUGAUGCAGCGACGCCGCGUGAGUGAGGACGUCUUUCGGUGUGUAAAGCUCUAUCAGCAGGGAAGAAAAUGACGGUACCUGACUAAGAAGCCCCGGCUAACUACGUGCCAGCAGCCGCGGUAAUACGGAGGGGGCCAGCGUUAUCCGGAUUUACUGGGGGUAAAGGGAGCGUAGACGGUUAAUCAAGUCAGAAGUGAAAACCCAGGGCUCAACCUCGGGACUGCUUUUGAAACUGAGUAGCUAGAGUGCAGGAGAGGUAGGCGGAAUGCCUGGUGUAGCGGUGAAAUGCGUAGAUAUUAGGAGGAACACCAGUGGCGAAGGCGGCUUACUGGACUGCAACUGACGUUGAGGCUCGAAAGCGUGGGGAGCAAACAGGAUUAGAUACCCUAGUAGUC
rnacentral:rRNA from 1 species